AUUGAACGCUGGCGGCAGGCCUAACACAUGCAAGUCGAGCGAGCGGCGGACGGGUGAGUAAUGUCUGGGAAACUGCCUGAUGGAGGGGGAUAACUACUGGAAACGGUAGCUAAUACCGCAUACCAUCAGAUGUGCCCAGAUGGGAUUAGCUAGUAGGUGGGGUAAUGGCUCACCUAGGCGACGAUCCCUAGCCGGCCUGAGAGGAUGACCGGCAAACAUGGAACUGAGACACGGCCCAGACGCCUACGGGAGGCAGCAGUGGGGAAUAUUGCACAAUGGGCGAAAGCCUGAUGCAGCCAUGCCGCGGGUGUGAAGAAGGCCUUCGGGUUGUAAAGCACGUUCAGCGAGGAGGCGUUACUCACAGAAGAAGCACCGGCUAACUCCGUGCCAGCCGCCGCGGUAAAAC
rnacentral:rRNA from 1 species